rnacentral:rRNA from 1 species
AUGCUAGCCACGGUGGGUCGCCUUACCCUUACACGAUCGGUGCUGAUGGCGUUGCCGAUCCAUUUAAUGGUUGUGCUUCCUCUCCCAAUGUGGGCCAUAAAGAUCAUCAACUAGAAAUGUUGAGGGUUCAUCUGGAAAGGAGAGGAGCAGAUUAGUGGGGAUCACUGCCUCAUGCCUUGGGCAAGGGUUUGCUUGCCACUGGAAAUUGGUGGACUUGGGAUCAUUAAUCUGAAGUGGUUUGGGAUGGCCCUGCGCUCCAAAUGGUCGUGGUUGCAGAGGGAUAUGAAAGAGAGGCCGUGGCAAUAG